GAUGAACGCUGGCGGCGUGCCUAACACAUGCAAGUCGAGCGAGAAACCUGCAAUUGAAACUUCGGUAGAUUUUGCGGGCGGAAAGCGGCGGACGGGUGAGUAACGCGUAGGCAACCUGCCCUUUGCAGAGGGAUAGCAACGGGAAACUGUUAUUAAAACCUCAUAAUACCGACAUGUCAAAUGACAAGACGGUCAAAGAUUUAUCGGCAAAGGAUGGGCCUGCGUCUGAUUAGUUAGUUGGUAGGGUAACGGCCUACCAAGGCAGCGAUCAGUAGCCGACCUGAGAGGGUGAUCGGCCACAUUGGAACUGAGACACGGUCCAAACUCCUACGGGAGGCAGCAGUGGGGAAUAUUGCACAAUGGGCGAAAGCCUGAUGCAGCAACGCCGCGUGAAGGAUGAAGGCCUUUGGGUCGUAAACUUCUGUCCUUGGGGAAGAAAAAAAUGACGGUACCCCUGGAGGAAGUCCCGGCUAACUACGUGCCAGCAGCCGCCGUAA
rnacentral:rRNA from 1 species